rnacentral:rRNA from 1 species
UACGGAGGGGGCUAGCGUUGUUCGGAAUUACUGGGCGUAAAGCGCACGUAGGCGGCUUGAAAAGUUGGGGGUGAAAGCCCGGAGCUCAACUCCGGAAUUGCCUUCAAAACUCUUAAGCUAGAGUUCGGAAGAGGAGAGUGGAAUUCCCAGUGUAGAGGUGAAAUUCGUAGAUAUAGGAAGGAACACCAGUGGCGAAGGCGACCACCUGGACUGAUACUGACACUGAGGUGCGAAAGCGUGGGGAGCAAACAGGAUUAGAAACCCCGGUAGU